rnacentral:rRNA from 1 species
CAGUAGCCACGGUAAUACGGAGGGGGCUAGCGUUGUUCGGAAUUACUGGGCGUAAAGCGCACGUAGGCGGCUUGGUAAGUUAGAGGUGAAAGCCUGGAGCUCAACUCCAGAAUUGCCUUUAAGACUGCCGAGCUAGCAGGUGAGAGAGGUAAGUGGGAUUCCGAGUGUAGAGGUGAAAUUCGUAGAUAUUCGGAAGAACACCAGUGGCGAAGGCGGCUUACUGGCUCAUACUGGACGCUGAGGUGCGAAAGCGUGGGGAGCAAACAGGAUUAGAUACCCCUGUAGUCCCUGUCUCUUAUAU